UGUCUGUCCAGUGGUUUGUUACAUCUACAACAACUGUAGAACAACUAAGGGACUUUCUAGAGAUCCGUUCUGUAUACAUCUGGCAAAUGCUUGCAAUUGAUGCUGACAAGGUAGUUUGCCGUCUUGGGAUCACUUUUAAGGAAGGAAGAACUCAGAGGAAUAACUGGGAGCAAAUGAAAAGGGAAUUCUGAGGAUGAAAAGGAAAGAGAAAUGAAAUUCAAGACAGAUAAACCCGUAGAGGAGAAUGGAAAGGAGAGAGGUUGGAAAAGUUCAUUGGUGAAAACUGUAUCCUGUGCUACGUUUGAGACUCAAGCAGAUGAUGGUUACCUUAUGAACACCCAAAUCAAGGCCCGUAGAUCUUAUGCUCAUACGACUAAGAGCUAUUGUUCUUCAGGUGCUUUGUAGCCUGCGUGUCAGCUUCACUGGGUCACAAGUGGCUGCACACCAUGCAGCAAACGUGUGUGCAAAGGACUUGAGCAAGAAGGCAGGCUCCAUUGGUGCAAAGUAUCUAAUGGCCUCUUCCUCACCUUGAGCUACUCAGUGCGCCACUGCCUUUCUCAUCUCAAAGGAAAAUGCUCUUUCACAACUGUUCAGAAAAGGAAGAAAGAAAGCUAUAAUAAAUUAUUAACUGUGAAUUAUUCCCUCAGCUCUAUGGCUCAGUCAUUGCUGCCCCAGUUUUCUUGCACAUGAAGCAUAAAAUAUCAACCCUGUCCUCCAAGCAUUUCUUGGUAGAAAUUGGCAAAAUGGCUAAUGUAAGAACCAGGCCUUGCAAGGUAGCAUAUUUUGGCAUAUAAUAUGUAAUUUCUCAGUUUUAUUUUUACAGCGUCUUGUUUUAUUUCUCUUGAACAGAAUUGGGAGAUUUACACAUGACUUUAAGGGGAGUAGAAAAAGGCGUAGAGUUUCUCUGAUGUGGGAUGAUCUGGUUAGAUGUAUGUACCACCAGUGAAACAUUCAUACUACCAUCAUACUUGGUACAGUGGUCUUAUAAUAAAAUUAGCAGUGCAGCAACCUUUUGAGAUGCUCAUUCAGUGAAGCUUACAGGAGCAGCAUGACUUUGCACAGAGCCCAAAAGUCUGAACAGAAUCUAAAAUCUGUAAGCUUGGUACAACUAUAUCAACCAAUGCAUUUUUAGCCUAUACUUGAAUAAGUUUUUUUAUUGAACUAAGAUUAGCUUCACAAAGUAACUCAGAUGUUUUCAGGAUAAAUUAAACUCGUACUGUCUUGCCUCAUAUCACUUGUCCUUACCCAUUCACAGUGGAAAUUUGUCAGGGCAAAAAGUGCUUUGCUCUUUUAUUAUGUGUCUGUCCAACAAUAGAGUCCGUUAUCUCUGUCUUGCAAAUACAGAGAAUGAAAUAAGAAAGGCACAUUAUCUUUGGAAAAUAGGACAGUAAAGGAGUGUCAGAAGUUAUAUUUGACUCUGUAUCUUAUGAGUCCCAAAGCAGUUUCACUUUGCUAGACUGUGUGUGUUCCCAUUGUCUACUUGUGUAUCUAUAUUUGUACAGAUUUAUUCCUCUGUCUUUCUUCAGAAUAAAAUAAAUGUUUAUUCUAAUUGAUCAUUACCAGAUAUGAAGUGAUUAAUAGAUUUGGUAACAUUCUAUUACUGAGAAGAAUAUUUGCAGUUUGUUUGUAAGCACAGAGAAUGAACGAGGUGAGUGAAACACUCUAGAGGAAACGCUGUUCACUUAUACAGAUAUUUAAAUGCAUACAUCUGUUUAGUUCAAUGCAUUUUGUGUCAAACUUCUUCAGUGUGACACUAAUAACAAAAAAGUAUUGGCUGGCAAUAUAACAAAAAUGUCAGAGUCAAUUAGGGUUGUUAGAAAUCCAUCCACAGUAGACAUUUACUGAAAUGUAUUAAUUUGGAGGAACAUUAAGAAACUGCCAAGAAAUAAGUCAUAUAUUAAGUCAGCUAUGGAGUAAGUUGUUUCGACUGGAUG